rnacentral:rRNA from 1 species
CAGCUCUCCGAGUAGUGUGGACGUUUAUUGGGCCUAAAGCAUCCGUAGCUUGCUAGAUAAGUCCUCUGUUAAAUCCACCGAUUUAAUCGUUGGAUUGCGGGGGAUACUGUUUGGCUAGGGGACGGGAGAGGUCGACGGUAUUUCCGGGGUAGGGGUGAAAUCCUAUAAUCCCGGGAGGACCACCAGUGGCGAAGGCUGUCGACUAGAACGCGCCCGACGGUGAGGGAUGAAAGCUGGGGGAGCGAACCGGAUUAGAUACCCGAGUAGUCC